UAUCGAUUCCCUUUAGCUUUUGAUUUGUUCCAUCUAGGGUUUCGAUUUCUCUUAUUUCUCAAUCGGUUUCUGGUUUUGGCGAGCAAUUUCACACCUGGGCUUCGAUUUCGGUCGGGAAAUCAAACGGGUUUCUGUUUGAUUUAGUAAUUUAGCUGGUAGGGAUUUGAAUCUUAUUCUUUGCCCUUUCUGUGAUUUUCUCAAUCUCGAGACCUUUCACAAUCACUGUUCGAUGGGGUGAUUGAGUCGAAUCUCGAUUCUUUGAUCGGUUCUGAGAAAGAUUUCUCUAUUGCAACUCUGUUUCCCUGAUAAACCCUAAACCCUAGUCCAGGCUUGGCACUGUUCAUGUAUGUAAACUUGUAGAUGAUUAGACAUAUAAGUUUCAUCAACUUACAUAAUCCUACGAUUGAAGCAGCCGUGUCCUUACCCUCUUCUGUUGUUUGCCCAAAUUGGAUAGAGAUGCAGAACCGUGGAGAUAUAGAGUAAAUCCGUAGUUGUGAACUCGAAAUCUUGCAAAAGUAUCGAAAAUUGAAUAGGUUUUUGAUAUGAAGGGUUAGUUCUCCUGGUUCGUGAUCAUCAGAUUGAAUCGUCGAAGCGAGUUACGUAAAGAGAUUGAAAGUGCACAAUUUGAUGAUUCAUGUUUGAUCUGAGUUGGGUGUCGUUCCUUCUUUUUUCCUCAAUCCUUAUGCUUCAGAUUCUUUGUUUUGUGAUCCUCCUGCAAAUAGAGCGUAGUUUUCCAUGAAGUGAAACAAUGUUCCCUUCCCUAAGGUCUGUAUGGAUACUUGAGUGCUAUUUCAGGUCUCUGCUUAUGGGAUGUCAUCAAGAACCGCAGAAACCAUGGAGUGACUAAUUUGUUAUAGUUGAUGCACUCCUACCCGAUGAAACCAACCUGAGAGCACGACACUGAUGUUUUCAUAGACUCGGAUGCAGAAGCAGGAAAUGCCUCUUGCCUCUGCUCGGGAUGGCGGUGAAAAAUGGUCGGAUCAUAUGAUCGAUAGACCUUCGCCCAUCACAAAUCUUUCUGUUUUCAGACAAGGGUUGAUUCUAUUUGAAGACAAGAACUCACAAAAUGACACACCUGAGAUUUGUCUCAUGAUGAGAAAGAAGAGAGCCAUCCUUCAAGAACAGGACUAUAUAUAUCCAUCUUCAAGUUACCCUCGAGCAAAUUAUGUUCGAGUUCUAGAGCUGAUGGUUCUACCAAUGGUAGAUUCAGAUGAUCUAUUACCAAAUUUGAAUCCUAGUCUAUAUAGAGGUCUCUCAUGUUUUUGAGCAAAUGAUGCAUUUGUAUACACACGCGGUUAUAUUUUGCUGAUACCUUUGUAUUUUUUUAAAUUUGAAAAAAAAAAUCAGUUGUUUUAAUAAUUUUUAUUAGUUUGGAUA